GACGAACGCUGGCAGCGUGCUUAACACAUGCAAGUCGAACGGAAAGGCCCUGCUUUUGUGGGGUGCUCGAGUGGCGAACGGGUGAGUAACACGUGAGUAACCUGCCCUUGACUUUGGGAUAACUUCAGGAAACUGGGGCUAAUACCGGAUAGGAGCUCCUGCUGCAUGGUGGGGGUUGGAAAGUUUCGGCGGUUGGGGAUGGACUCGCGGCUUAUCAGCUUGUUGGUGGGGUAGUGGCUUACCAAGGCCUUGACGGGUAGCCGGCCUGAGAGGGUGACCGGCCACAUUGGGACUGAGAUACGGCCCAGACUCCUACGGGAGGCAGCAGUGGGGAAUAUUGCACAAUGGGCGGAAGCCUGAUGCAGCAACGCCGCGUGCGGGAUGACGGCCUUCGGGUUGUAAACCGCUUUCGCCUGUGACGAAGCGUGAGUGACGGUAAUGGGUAAAGAAGCACCGGCUAACUACGUG
rnacentral:rRNA from 1 species